rnacentral:lncRNA from 1 species
UCCGUAGCCUCCACACAUUCCCUCUGGCUGCAGGCCCCUGGGAUUUUUCUGUGUGACCCCGUCACAUUGCAUCUGUAUAGAUUGUCAAAGCACCUCAUGACUGUGGAGGAAGAAGUCGGGGACAGAACAUGGAUCUGGAAGGCUCACAGCAUGGAUUUGGUCUCUCCCAAAAAGGAUGCUUGUAGAAAACGAUGAUUCUGAAAUGGUACAAAUCCCUUUCCCAAAAGGCAUCUCAAAGCCAGCCGCUGCUACUG